rnacentral:rRNA from 1 species
UGCCAGACUCCUACGGGAGGCAGCAGUGAGGAAUAUUGGUCAAUGGGCGGGAGCCUGAACCAGCCAAGUCGCGUGAGGGAAGACGGUCCUACGGAUUGUAAACCUCUUUUGCCGGGGAGCAACGGGGUCCUUGCGAGGGCCCGAUGAGAGUACCCGGAGAAAAAGCAUCGGCUAACUCCGUGCCAGCAGCCGCGGUAAUACGGAGGAUGCGAGCGUUAUCCGGAUUUAUUGGGUUUAAAGGGAGCGUAGGCCGGUCUUUAAGCGUGCCGUGAAAUUUUGUGGCUCAACCAUGAGAGUGCGGCGCGAACUGGAGACCUUGAGUGCGCGGAAGGCAGGCGGAAUUCGUGGUGUAGCGGUGAAAUGCUUAGAUAUCACGAAGAACCCCGAUUGCGAAGGCAGCCUGCCGCAGCGUUACUGACGCUGAAGCUCGAAAGCGCGGGUAUCGAACAGGAUUAGAUACCCGUGUA